GAUGGACGCUAGCGGCAGGCUUAAUACAUGCAAGUCGUGGGGCAGCAGGUUUGUAGCAAUACAGAUGCUGGCGACCGGCAAACGGGUGCGUAACACGUACGCAACCUUCCCGUUACUGGGGAAUAGCCCAGGGAAACUUGGAUUAAUACCCCAUAUUAUAUUGGUCAGGCAUCUGACUGAUAUCAAAGCUUCGGCGGUAACGGAUGGGCGUGCGGUUGAUUAGGUAGUUGGGGGGGUAACGGCCCACCAAGCCUACGAUCAAUAGCUGAUGUGGGAGCAUGAUCAGCCACACGGGCACGGAGACACGGGCCCGACUCCUACGGGAGGCAGCAGUAAGGAAUAUUGGGCAAUGGACGCAAGUCUGACCCAGCCAUGCCGCGUGAAGGAUGAAGGUCCUCUGGAUUGUAAACUUCUUUUAUCUGGGGCGAAAACCGGUUAUUCUUAACCGUUUGACAGAACCAGAGGAAUAAGCACCGGCUAACUCCGUGCCAGCCGCCGCCGUAAGAC
rnacentral:rRNA from 1 species